rnacentral:pre_miRNA from 8 species
UUACCGUCAGGCUUUCACAAGCCAGCCUCAAAGUUUGUUCUCAAACUUUAAGAAUCUAGUUGGUAAGUGCUAUUUGUUGGGGUAGUUUCAAGUGA